UAUCGAAAUCCCGAUCCCCCCCCCGGGGGCUGCGGAGCCUCCGUGGCGGGGGGUCGCACACCACGUCUUUCCGUGCACCCAUCGUAGGCCCCCCUUCCUUCGAAGGGCCUACGUCCGUCGCCUCGAAGUCGGAACGUCCAUAGAGUGUGUCGGGCGUCAUGUCGUGACAACUUUCAGCAACGGAUCUCUUGGCUCUCGCAUCGAUGAAGGACGCAGCGAAUCGCGAUAAGUAAUGUGAAUUGCAGAUCUUCCGUGAAUCAUCGAAUCUUUGAACGCACCUUGCGCUCCUCGGCAUUCCGAGGAGCAUGCCUGUCUGAGCGUCUCGGUAUUCUCGAAUCCCCCGGACUUUCCGGGAUUCGGAACUUGGGAGUUGCGGGCGUCCGACCCUCGGACGUCGGCUCUCCUCGAACACAUCAGCAAGGGAAGGGGCCACGGCACGGCGGCGUGCGACCUCGUCCGACGUCGUAAAGGAUCGUCGCGGGUCGCAGGCAGAGCGGGUCGGGGGGGGCAUCAUCUCAUGCUCGUAGCGCUUCGGCAAGGUCGUAUGGCCUCAGAUCAGGCAGGACUACCCGCCGAACUUAA
rnacentral:rRNA from 1 species